UCUUCGGAGAGUUUGAUCCUGGCUCAGGAUGAACGCUGGCGGCGUGCCUAAUACAUGCAAGUCGAGCGAACUGAUUAGAAGCUUGCUUCUAUGACGUUAGCGGCGGACGGGUGAGUAACACGUGGGCAACCUGCCUGUAAGACUGGGAUAACUCCGGGAAACCGGAGCUAAUACCGGAUAACAUUUUCUCUUGCAUAAGAGAAAAUUGAAAGAUGGUUUCGGCUAUCACUUACAGAUGGGCCCGCGGUGCAUUAGCUAGUUGGUGAGGUAACGGCUCACCAAGGCAACGAUGCAUAG
rnacentral:rRNA from 1 species